CCGAGUUUACAACUCCCAAACCCCUGUGAACAUACCACUUGUUGCCUCGGCGGAUCAGCCCGCUCCCGGUAAAACGGGACGGCCCGCCAGAGGACCCCCUAAACUCUGUUUCUAUAUGUAACUUCUGAGUAAAAACCAUAAAUAAAUCA
rnacentral:misc_RNA from 1 species